UUUGGCUCCAACCACUUACAUCAAUGAUCAACAUCUUUCUCAGAGUGUGCGGUCUUUACCUGUGGCAGUGCCUGGCCAAAUAUGUGGUUGCCCACCAGAGGCACUGAAAGUCAAUCCAGGAAAGGCCGUCACUCUUAUCACAAUGAAUGGAAGAUAUAAUCUCAACCUGCCAGAGCUGACCUGUGAGAAAUGCCAGUCUGUCUGGACCGCUGGAGUUGAUGAUCUACUAAGAAGUGGUCAAUGGCCUGCUACAAUCAAUUUCUCCACCGUUUAUUCUGUGGUUGUCUUUUCUUCUUUCCAAGAAAUGAAAAUGGCAGCACCAGGCUUGUCUUGU